GUGCUAGCAAUCAGCGAGACUCCGUGGGCGUAGGACCUUCCGAGCCAGGUGUUGGUUAUAAUUUCGUGGUGCGCCGUUUUUUAAGCCCGUCGGAAAAGCGCAGUAUUCGGGUGGGAGUGACCCGAUUUUCCAGGUGCUGUCCGUCACCCCUUUCUUUGACUCGGAAAGGGAACUCCCUGACCCCUUGCGCUUCCCAAAGUGAGGCAAUGCCUCGCCCUGCUUUGGCUCGCGCACGGUGCGCGCACCCACUGACCUGCGCCCGCUGUCUGGCACUCCCUAGUGAGAUGAACCCUGUACCUCAGAUGGAAAUGCAGAAAUCACCCGUCUUCUGCGUCGCUCAUGCUGGGAGCUGCAGACCGGAGCUGUUCCUAUUCGGCCAUCUUGGUUCCUCCCUCCAAGAACUACUUAACAAUAUACAUACUGAUCCAUUGUGGAAUUAUUAAGGAAAAUACAUUGAAAUAGGUGGCAUUCUUGUCAAAGAUAUAUAUGGACGGCUAGAUGGAUAGAUAGGUGAAAAUCAUGUUCCAUGGAAGAAGAGUUAGCUCAGCCUGCAACUCAAACAAGUACAGAUAUUCUUCCAUGGAAUGACCAUCAUACUUGGAUUGUAAUAAAAAUGCUUUAGGCAAACUUCUCAUUUCAUCCUUGGCAUAUUAAAAAUAUGUAUGUAUGUUUAAGGCUUGAAACUUAACACUGUAUUUUAAUGUUUCAGUAAGGUAAUUCUUCUUAAAUAAAAUUGGCAUUUUUAAAAAAGCCCUCUCUCACCACUCCUAUUCAACAUAGUGUUGGAAGUUCUGGCCAGGGCAAUUAGGCAGGAGAAAGAAAUAAAGGGUAUUCAAU
rnacentral:lncRNA from 10 species